CAGUCGAGCGAGCUUGCCUAGAUGAUUUUAGUGCUUGCACUAAAUGAAACUAGAUACAAGCGAGCGGCGGACGGGUGAGUAACACGUGGGUAACCUGCCCAAGAGACUGGGAUAACACCUGGAAACAGAUGCUAAUACCGGAUAACAACACUAGACGCAUGUCUAGAGUUUGAAAGAUGGUUCUGCUAUCACUCUUGGAUGGACCUGCGGUGCAUUAGCUAGUUGGUAAGGUAACGGCUUACCAAGGCAAUGAUGCAUAGCCGAGUUGAGAGACUGAUCGGCCACAUUGGGACUGAGACACGGCCCAAACUCCUACGGGAGGCAGCAGUAGGGAAUCUUCCACAAUGGACGAAAGUCUGAUGGAGCAACGCCGCGUGAGUGAAGAAGGGUUUCGGCUCGUAAAGCUCUGUUGGUAGUGAAGAAAGAUAGAGGUAGUAACUGGCCUUUAUUUGACGGUAAUUACUUAGAAAGUCACGGCUAACUACGUGCCAGCAGCCGCGGUAAUACGUAGGUGGCAAGCGUUGUCCGGAUUUAUUGGGCGUAAAGCGAGUGCAGGCGGUUCAAUAAGUCUGAUGUGAAAGCCUUCGGCUCAACCGGAGAAUUGCAUCAGAAACUGUUGAACUUGAGUGCAGAAGAGGAGAGUGGAACUCCAUGUGUAGCGGUGGAAUGCGUAGAUAUAUGGAAGAACACCAGUGGCGAAGGCGGCUCUCUGGUCUGCAACUGACGCUGAGGCUCG
rnacentral:rRNA from 1 species